GGGAGGGUAGCGUAGUGGCCAGCGUGUUCACUAAGCGUUAAUAUCAGCGUUGAUUUCUAAGCGUUUAGCGAGAGGCCUGGGUUCGAACCCCAGCCCGCCCA